GUUGGUAAUGUUGUGUUUAGUUGUAGCAGGUUGGUAAUGUUGUGUUUAGUUGUAGCAGGUUGGUAAUGUUGUAGCAGGUUGGUAAUGUUGUGUUUAGUUGUAUAGGUUGAUAAUGUUGUAGCAGGUUGAUAAUGUUGUGUUUAGUUGUAUAGGUUGAUAAUGUUGUGUUGAGUUGUAGCAGGUUGGUAAUGUUGUGUUGAGUUGUAGCAGGUUGGUAAUGUCGUGUUUAGUUGUGCAGGUUGGUAAUGUUGUGUUUAGUUGUAGCAGGUUGGUAAUGUUGUGUUGAGUUGUAGCAGGUUGGUAAUGUUGUGUUUAGUUGUGCAGGUUGGUAAUGUUGUGUUGAGUUGUGCAGGUUGGUAAUGUUGUGUUGAGU
rnacentral:lncRNA from 1 species